UCCUGCGGGCUUGUGUAUUUGCCCCGCUGUGGUAGUGUCAGGUUCUGCGUCAUUGACGCCAGAAGCAUUUCGCAAACCCCGCCCUUGGGCGGGGUUUUGCUUUAUC
rfam:Pseudomonas entomophila str. L48 chromosome,complete sequence.